GAUGAAGAACGUAGCGAAAUGCGAUAAGUAAUGUGAAUUGCAGAAUUCAGUGAAUCAUCGAAUCUUUGAACGCACAUUGCGCCCGCCAGUAUUCUGGCGGGCAUGCCUGUCUGAGCGUCAUUUCAACCCUCAUGCCCCUAGGGCGUGGUGUUGGGGAUCGGCCAAAGCCCGCGAGGGACGGCCGGCCCCUAAAUCUAGUGGCGGACCCGUCGUGGCCUCCUCUGCGUAGUAGUUUUCUCCUCGCAAGGGCAGCUCGGUGGCGACCUCGCCGUAAAACCCCCAACUUCUGAAAGGUUGACCUCGAAUCAGGUAGGAAUACCCGCUGAACUUAAGCAUAUCAAUAAGCGGAGGA
rnacentral:misc_RNA from 1 species